UACGAAGGGGGCUAGCGUUGCUCGGAAUCACUGGGCGUAAAGCGCACGUAGGCGGAUUGCUAAGUCAGGGGUGAAAUCCUGGAGCUCAACUCCAGAACUGCCUUUGAUACUGGCGAUCUUGAGUCCGGGAGAGGUGAGUGGAACUGCGAGUGUAGAGGUGAAAUUCGUAGAUAUUCGCAAGAACACCAGUGGCGAAGGCGGCUCACUGGCCCGGUACUGACGGCUGAGGC
rnacentral:rRNA from 1 species